UUCGAGUUGGUCGUUUGACACUCAACGCGUUUGGUGAUCGUCAUUAGAAGCAUCUUGUCCGUCCAGUCAUCCCACCUCAACAUCCAACCCACCUAGACUGUCCGAUCGCUUUUUUUGGUAACCAACCCACCCCCCGCUUGACAAAGAAAAUCGGAACAAUAUCCCAACCUUCCUAUACAGCCCGAUCUGAAAUAAUUUGGCGUGAUUUCCGGAUGCAAAUAAUCCCACUUACUCCCCUUCCUUGUGUUUCCCACUUUCCCUACGCAAAGAAAGAUAAUGGUGAGACAGAGGCGCACGGCGACGAGCGACGAGAGCAGCUCGGGCAAUGCGGCGUCUUGCUUCCGAUCUAUGACUGGAGGAAGAGAUGGAGGGGGAUAGUAGUUGCUCGGCCAUGGGGACGGGUUGAAGAGAUGAAGUUAGGCUCGGUGGAGGAUGGCCAUGGUGGCAUAGACGGGUCUCUCUCUAGGCCUAGGGGUGGAAGACCCCGAGAUUACGAUCAGGCAGAGAUGACGACAUCUGCCUGGUGAACGCCAUCGGCCGGCACCGCGGCGAACGAACCGACCAUGUUGGGGCUGAACCGGUGGGGGCAGAGGAGCCGCGAUGGCCACCUUCUUCAAUUUUGAUGGAGGUGCGUCCGAUCUCGGGCCCUCAACGCUCAACAGCAUCGUCCCUAUCCUGCUCGUCGCCGCCUCUGAGAUCGAACACGAGAGCAUCGGCGCUGUCCACGGUCAUUUUGGACGAUUUUGGUCGUGGUUUUUGUACAGCUUCGUGAGAUUCCAAUCUUCGAGCUCCUGCAGUUUAUGAAUCUGGGAGGUUUGGUCGAGCGAUGCUGCCCUAUGAUGUAGUAAAUUAUCUGCAGUUUUUGGUAAUUCACAAGGUCUGCUUUUUGGGAAACUUCAUUCGGUUGGAUAUAGUUGGGCAUGUCAAUUCAUUCAUGUAAGAUUUGGCAAUUUAUCUCCAACGCAUCAUUUAGUGAGAACAUACUCUCAUUGAUGGUUUUACUCAUGAUAGAAAAAUGUAGUAAAUUAUACUGCUCCUAGGAUCGUUCUUGCAAUAUCAGUUGGUUUCAAUUGCGGAGCCACCUCUUUCAGAUCUUCCUGGUGUGACAUCAUGAAAAAUCAAAAUCAGUGUAUGUGGGAGGGGAUGCUCCUAAGUAAUGCUAAUGAAGCUAAUGAUGUUGGUGAAGAAUCUCAUCCAGAUAAUCAGGGAGAUUCAAAGUGAGUAUAAUAUCUCGAUAUCUUUAACGAAUUAAGUUAUUUUCGUGCAUCAUCUUUUAACCUACACAGAAGAUGAAGCAAGAAGAUAGGGUCCUCAGUGUGUUGAUACGAGCAAAGGAGGAAGGGGCGAUGUGUUGGAGUCGAGGGCGGUGGCAUUGGUCGAUUGUGCAUGCCAGUCGCUGCCUGGUCUGAGUGGCACCGCAGCCGCGGUAUGCAAGCACCUCAGGUGUGUCUAGGUUCCUCAACAUUUUCAUUUAUGCCUGCCUUGAUAUCUGCAUUGAUACAUAUUAUUUUUUGGUUGUGCAUAUUAUUGAAAUUAUAUUAUCAAGUCAGCGAAUUUAUCACGCGCUAUUUCAAUAAUUUCAUAUUUAGUGCUUCUGACUUAACUUUCUUAGCUAUUUGAUGCAUGUAUAAAUGGAUUUCGUUGAAUUGUUUUCCUGGUUUUUUAUAUGGUAAAUACAGUUUACCACUGAUCCUUUUCAAAUGGAUGUGUGCAAAGUUGAAGCAGUAAAUUACCAUGAUCUGUGCUUGUGCAUGAAUACAUUCAUGUGCGUGUGCAUGAAUACAGCAUUUCAUGCAUGUUAUUUGAGUUACUAUUUUUCGUUUUAUUUCUUUUCUAUCCAAUCCAAUCUGAAAUUAUAUUUAUGUGAGUGUGAUGAAGAAUGGUCUCCACUUAACAUUUGGGCUCUCAUAAUAACGAAAGGCCUCCAGGCUCGCUCCAGCCUCCAAUGAAGGAUUCACUGGCGGCGGCCAGUGCAGCAACCCCAUCGGCAAGAGUCUGCAGGAAGCCGAUUUUUUAAAUUGACUUUGGAUACCCAUUUUCAGAAUCCUAUGCCCUCCCAUGACACGCCGUCAACACCAGCUGCAUCACCAAGAUCUUCUCCAUGAGGUGACACGCUGUUGCGGCGCAUGUAAAAUUAUCAUCAUAGUUCAUGGUUAUAUCUUCACAAUGACAUAAAGCCAGACCCAGACAAUUUCCUUAUGGGCUUAGGCUGGAAAGCUAAUCAGGUCUAUAUAAUCGAUUAUGGGCUUGCUAAAAAAUACAAGGAUCUUCAUACUCAUAAACACAUACCUUGCAGCUUUAGAGGUACCAAGUCAUAAAAAAAUCAUAUGAGAUGAUAGGCUUAAACGAAGGUGAGAAUUGAAGCAGGCUUGAACGAAGGUGAGAAUUGAAGCAAUAUAUAUCCCUUCAUGAAUUUUGUACAUAUGGUUAAAUCACUAACCAGAUGUAUAAACAGAAUAUGUAUUUCCUAAGUGGAACACAUGGGCCUAUUUUUUUCUAUCAAAAAAGGUUCACUUUGGUCUAACUUCUAGAUCCAGUAUGGAAGAGAUUUCACAAAAGAUCGACCGUAUUAUGAGAGCGGACAUGGUUAGAGCGCUUAAAGUACGCCUCAAAGGGGAGUGACUCUAUGGAGUAGGAUGUGCUGAAGAUAAUAUCUACACUGGUCCUGGAUUUGUGAGUUUGACCUUGCUUCACAUGGGUAAUGAGGUGAUCACUACGACAUCAUCUACCCACGCGCUCCUUCUACCGAGAGUUCAGGCAUGCCAGGGAGAGCAUCCCACUGAUAAAGUUCAAAUCAACCGAGUAUGUUGUGUUGAAAUUGAGUUUGAUUGUUGCAUAUGAAAGAAAUCGUUUAUGAGUUUGGUUGUCGGGAUCUAGAGAUACACUGGUGUUGUAUGGGUAGGUAUAGCAUACACUUGCGCAUUCUUCUUCUGUUGGUCCAAGCUGCUGGUGUCAAUUGAUUGAUCAUAAGUUGCUCCAUUGUCUGAAGAAAAAUGUGUGCAUUUUAUUUGAA